GACGAGCCACCCGAACGUUAUUCGGAAUUACUGGGCUUAAAGGGUGCGUAGGCGGUGUAGCAAGUCGGGAGUGAAAUACCCCAGCUUAACUGAGGAAUUGCUUUCGAUACUGCUGCGCUUGAGUGAGACAGAGGUAAGCGGAACUUAGGGUGGAGCGGUGAAAUGCGUUGAUAUCCUAAGGAACACCGGUGGCGAAGGCGGCUUACUGGGUCUCAACUGACGCUGAGGCACGAAAGCGUGGGGAGCGAACAGG
rnacentral:rRNA from 1 species